CCAAUGCUUUUGUAAGGUUAACAUUUUAUUUUUCACGCUUAUCGUCAUCUUCUAUAUGCAUCGUCAUCUAUAGUUCAUCGUCCUUAGCCAUCUAGAACCGUCCCAUUAAUGGGUUUCAGUAGGUUGUGCUAGAUGUAUCUUCCUAAUGAAUCUCUGGAUCGAGCUUCAUUCGCGCCGGUUCGUCUUAGAUUCGUCUCCUCCAAAACGUUACGGAUUCAUCAAUUUAUUGCCAUUAAGAAGCAUCUUUACUCCUUUGACCACCAACAAGCACCAAUCAAACAUUCAAUGCUUCUAAUUCCUCAUUCAGGCGGUGUUUAUCCCCCCCA
rnacentral:lncRNA from 1 species